rnacentral:lncRNA from 1 species
AAACAUGGUCAAUGUUAGAACAAAUACCGCACAGAAAUAUAAUUUUUCAUAAGAGCUUCUAUGGAUAGUCCAUGUCUUAUAGUCGCGACCACAUACGAAUACUCUUAUAUAUGUGAUUUUUUUCAGGGAUGUGUGUAGAGUCACAUCUCGAAAAAUUACCGUCUCGGAUCCCAUUAAGAACUAUCAGCUCAACCUCAAUCACUAUAUAGAGCACUACUCACGAGUAUUAAUCGAUGUGAUCUCUAAAAUGUUAUUCCAUUUGACGGAUAUAUAUUACACUAUUACAGAAAAAUUUUAAUUGAUUUAUGCAUAUAGUUUAAAGUUAGGAGAUUGUUUCUGAAAAACUUAGAGCAUUUUAUUUGCUCCAGAUA